rnacentral:rRNA from 1 species
AACGCUAGCUACAGGCUUAACACAUGCAAGUCGAGGGGCAUCAGGGUAGCAAUACCGCUGGCGACCGGCGCACGGGUGAGUAACACGUAUCCAACCUACCGUUAACUCGGGGAUAGCCUUUCGAAAGAAAGAUUAAUACCCGAUAGUAUAUUUUCUUCGCAUGUUGAAAAUAUUAAAGAAUUUCGGUUAUCGAUGGGGAUGCGUUCCAUUAGGCAGUUGGCGGGGUAACGGCCACCAAACCUACGAUGGAUAGGGGUUCUGAGAGGAAGGUCCCCCACAUUGGAACUGAGACACGGUCCAAACUCCUACGGGAGGCAGCAGUGAGGAAUAUUGGUCAAUGGACGAAGGUCUGAACCAGCCAAGUAGCGUGAAGGAUGACUGCCCUAUGGGUUGUAAACUUCUUUUAUAUGGGAAUAAAGUUCUCCACGUGUGGAGUUUUGUAUGUACCAUUAUGAAUAAGCAUCGGCUAACUCCGUGCCAGCAGCCGCGGUAAUACGGAGGAUGCGAGCGUUAUCCGGAUUUAUUGGGUUUAAAGGGAGCGUAGGUGGACUGGUAAGUCAGUUGUGAAAGUUUGCGGCUCAACCGUAAAAUUGCAGUUGAUACUGUCAGUCUUGAGUACAGUAGAGGUGGGCGGAAUUCGUGGUGUAGCGGUGAAAUGCUUAGAUAUCACGAAGAACUCCGAUUG